ensembl:lncRNA
GAAAUACAUGUAUAUAGUAGGAGAAAUACAUGUAUAUAGUAGGAGAAAUACAUGUAUAUAGUAGGAGAAAUACAUGUAUAUAGUAGGUGAAAUACAUGUAUAUAGUAGGAGAAAUACAUGUAUAUAUAGUAGGAGAAAUACAUGUGUAUAUAGUAGGAGAAAUACAUGUAUAUAGUAGGAGAAAUACAUGUGUAUAUAGUAGGAGAAAUACAUGUGUAUAUAGUAGGAGAAAUACAUGUAUAUAGUAGGAGAAAUACAUGUGUAUAUAGUAGGAGAAAUACAUGUAUAUAGUAGGAGAAAUACAUGUGUAUAUAGUAGGAGAAAUACAUGUAUAUAGUAGGAGAAAUACAUGUGU